rnacentral:lncRNA from 1 species
ACCUCUAUUAGUUUCACUGUGUCUCUGUUUAGCUUGUGUUUCAGUGUUCUGCGAGAGUGGGGUGACUAAGUCUCUAUUAUUGUGUAGGGUUCAAUGUGUGUUUUGAGCUUUAGUAAAGUUUAUGAAUGUGGGAGCACAUGCAUUUGGGGUAUAGAUGUUCAGAAUUGAGACUUUCUCAUGGUGGAUUUUUAUUCUUGAUGAUCUUGCUUGAUAACUUUUGGUUGAAAGUGUAUUUUAUUGGAUAUUAGGAUGGCAACUCCAGCUUGUUUCUUGGGACCAUUUGCUUGGAAGACCUUUUUUCCCAACCUUUUACUCUGACGUAGUAUCUGUAGGGCUAACAGUUCUUUGACAUAGUUCCCAGGUGAAUAUUCUAGAAGCCCAAUGUUUCAUUAGAGGAUAAAGUGACUUAACACAAAAAACUCACAUGAACUUUACAAUAUGGCUGACAGGAAGUACAGACAAGGUCUGGGAAUGCACAGGUUGGGUUCUCUGGACAAGAAGACCAAAGAGUUUGGGUGACAGUUGUAGUUUUUAUUUUGACUCUGGUUUGUAAAAAAGGAACUAGGGCACUCAAAAAGGAAAGCAUCUGUGUGUUUGUGUGUGGUUUUUUUUUUUUUUUUUCUUCUUCACUACAACCUGGCAUCUCCUUCUUCUAGGUUUGAAUGUAUCACUGGCCCUUGACUCUGUUUGAAUAGCUGGUUGUCUCUAUUGUUCCAACUGUCUUCCUUAUUUGUCCUUCCAACUUUUCCUGUCAGGAGCCUGGUAUGUAUGUGUAGGGAGAAGAAUCAGGUAGCCUUGAACUAGAAGCUUGGUUGUCGAAUGGCUAUACAAUCUCUUCUUCCCCGUGGGAGGACUGAACACUCUAUGGUUUACCUUGGCACUCACUGACAAAAUUCCAGUUAUAAGUUAUGUACAUAUGGGCCAGUCAGAUUAUUUCUGGAAAGAUGUGAGUGAGUCAUAUGUUGCCCAAGGUCAAGUUUCUGCCUAAGAAUGUAUUUGUAGACCUUCUUUUGACCAUUGCUCUUAGUUUUCCUGUAUGUUUCUGAGGGCAUGCCACGUUCUUGUGUUGGACUGGGAAUGAGGAACUUGUGUGGCCUGUGACCUCCGAGACAGUAUGUAUACAGUGAAGCUCCAAAGCCCAUCUCUGGCCAAAGGAGGCCAUGAUUAAGGUCAGUCAACUUGGGAUUUAUUGGCAAAAUGUGUGUGUGUGUGUGUGUGUGUGUGUGUGUGUGUGUGUGUGUGUGUGGUGUUGUUGUUGUUGUUGUUUAUCAAAGAAGGGUGGAGGGAGAGAACCUGAAAGAUGGGUACCUUGGCUUCUUGGUUCAAUACUGUCAGCAAGUGAUCUGUUCUUAAUGUUCCCACCAAUAAUUCAGUGUGUUUUCUCUCAAAAUGUCUGGGGGCAAAGGACUGAAGAAUAGAUAUAUCUUGGUAGCACAGGAGGGACUUGUACUCAGCCCAAGGUCCCGUUUCUUCUGAAGAAUUUAUAUGUAUUGCGUCUUCUGACUCUUCUUUCUAGCUUUGCAGUUCCGAAUUUAGUGCGAACUCGAGUGCUGAACUGAUGGUGCUGUACUGUGCCCCAGACUAAGUCUCUGGCUAGAAGUUUGUUUCUAUGGCUUCUCCUGACCCUUGCAUCCAGGGGAAGGGAUCCUCAUUGGGUUUUCCUGUUUGGCCCUUAUGCCUUGAGGAUGGUCCCUGUCCUUGUGGGAGAAUAUCUUAAUACACUGAAACAGAGACCACCCAGGUCAGAUCAGUGAUAAUAGGUACUGUAGACAUAAGGAACCAAUUUCUAUCUAACAUAUAUCAGAGUCAAGUGUUAUGUUGAACUGUUUCAUUUUUUUUUUUUUUUUCACUCCAAGAAGGGCGGAGGGAGAGAACCUGUAAGAAGGGUAUCUUCACAUUCUUGAUACUACACUGCCAUCCAGUGGAAUUGCUUUGCUGUUCUUAUCAACACCUCCAUAAGCUUUUCCUUGGCAAGUCUGGUAGUGGGUGAGGAGUGCUUCAGCUUCUGGUUCAAAUAUUAAAGUGAAGGUAGCUUGAGCCAACUGGCAGGUUCUGCGGUUAGCCAGCUUGCUUCUCUGAGUAAUAAAUUCAGCUACUUGCGAAUAUGGGCUUUGUGAUCUCGAGGCGGCCAUGUUUGCACAGUGAUGAGGAACACUAUUUCGGAUUCAUCAACUGGGGCACAGAUAUGUGGGUAACUUGCUGAUCAAGGUUAGGAAUCUCCCCCAAUUGCCUCUGACCUGUUUUUUAGAUACCUUUCUGCAUAUAUAUCUCAUUUCUUGGAAUCAGCCAGUGCCCAUGAGAUUCUGGACUUUGUUCAUGAGCUUCAGGGUCUCGAGAAAUGCCAUCUAGAGGUCAAAAAUAUGUCAGUCCUUUCAAUUCAUCAUACUCUCUACCCUACUCUCACUUCCAUUACUCCCUCUUUUUCAUUCCUUCCCUCCUUCCACUCUUAGAUACUCAGCCUGUUGUCUCUGCUUUUUUUCUUCCCUUCCUUUCUGUAUUUUCUGUCUUUUGGCUUCCUUUUUAUUCCCUUUAUUCUUCUGCUGUACUUCAGGAGUUUUGCUGGGAGAGCUCUCUUUGUCUUGGACUUGGAAUCCGUGGUUCAGCAUCAAAUCAGGUCCCCACACAACCCACAGGCCGGGAAAACAUCUGUAAAGGUGAG